rnacentral:rRNA from 3 species
UUUUGACCUCAAAUCAGG